rnacentral:rRNA from 1 species
UACGAAGGGGGCUAGCGUUGCUCGGAAUCACUGGGCGUAAAGGGUGCGUAGGCGGGCCUUUAAGUCAGGGGUGAAAUCCUGGAGCUCAACUCCAGAACUGCCUUUGAUACUGAAGAUCUUGAGUUCGGGAGAGGUGAGUGGAACUGCGAGUGUAGAGGUGAAAUUCGUAGAUAUUCGCAAGAACACCAGUGGCGAAGGCGGUUGCCUGGAGCUUUGCUGACGCUGAUGCGCGAAAGCGUGGGGAGCGAUCCGG